AUCUGAGCUGAAUGUCACACAACCUGCUGCAGUGCUCUUUGAGAGAAUGUCCAGAUCUGGUUACUCAGUAGUUUGUUAUGCUUGAAGAAAAAGAAAUGAUGACAUGAGACAGAAUGAUGGAUGGAGAGUGGCUUUGUUCCCUUACCAAAUGGAUUUCCUUCUCUUGGUGGAUGCCACCCCCGGCAUGUUUGUGAAAGAGGCAUUCCUCGCCGUGCAGCGUGGGAACAACCUGGACCAUCCAUCCGGUAUUCCGACGGAACAUUGUCACACCAGAGCCGGCUGUUGCCAUGGAGACCGCCACAAGUGCUCUAGUGCAUGUCCCUUUUUAGAAAUGAGUUCUGAGGUGGGAAGUGCCUCAAGAGAGCCAAUCGGUAGCUAUCGCCCUGCGUUAAUAGCGUUCGCUGCUCUUUGAAGCCCUGAAUUAAUGAGGUUGCACAACAUUUUCCCAAACCACCUGCUGUACGGUCAGAUGUGUGUGAAGCUGACUGUUCACCUAUGGUAUAACAGCAGUCGCUUUAGCUUAAAUGUCACCAUGGGAAAUCGGCAUACCAGAAUCCAAGGGAUGCGGGCAAAGGUUGACAGAUGGUUUAAAUAACAGAACCAACCGUGAGAAUAAGAGCACUGGCAGCACCUUUAAACACACAGGCAACCGUAUACAUUCACACACACACACACACACACAUAACCUCUAAGCUUGCACAGUGUCAGCGGCUCACAAGCGAUUCGCCCCCUCCGCACAUUUGCUUCGAAGACCAGGAACACUGUGUACCCAACUUGUACACUGGCAUCAGGGCACAUGAAGCCCCAGCCUGAGGAUAUCACAUGCAUUCACACAUCACAGAUCUGACUGCAGCAAAUGAAUGUUUUAUCAGACUCCAUUUCAGCUCUGUGCAGUCAAACUCAAUACAUGCUUUUCUGUUGAUUACAUAUUAUUUACAUAAUUGCAAUAAUUUAUUCAUAAUGUGUUAAUUCUCCCUAAUUACUCUUUUUAAUUUUUUACUCUUUUUCCUUACUACAAUAGCCUACCAUAUUCUGAAAGUUUUGUCAACAUUCAAACAGAGAUCAGUCAUUUGUCAGGUGUCUACACAGCAUUUGACCACUGGACUUACAAAAAUAAUUUCAGCGUUUAAACAUUGCAUCAACUACUGAUGAACACAUCCAUUUUUGUUUGAAUUUCAAACAGAUUCACAAACUUUUUUUGUCAUCUGGUCCUCCUUCACCUAAUAAAUUUAUAUAUGUAUGUAAUAAAUAUUUUAAUAAUGAAGUAUCACAUUUGCAUGUCCAUGGUUCUGUGACGUUGGUUAUGGUCAAAUGACAUGCAGGUAAACAAAUAAAUAUUGUAUUUUUUUCA